GAUCAUGGCUCAGGACGAACGCUGGCGGCGCGCCUAACACAUGCAAGUCGAACGAGAGAGAAGGAGCUUGCUUCUUCGAUCGAGUGGCGAACGGGUGAGUAACGCGUGAGGAACCUGCCUCAAAGAGGGGGACAACAGUUGGAAACGACUGCUAAUACCGCAUAAGCGCACAGGGUCGCAUGACCUGGUGUGAAAAACUCCGGUGGUAUGAGAUGGACCCGCGUCUGAUUAG
rnacentral:rRNA from 1 species